rnacentral:rRNA from 1 species
UACGAAGGGGGGCUAGCGUUGUUCGGAAUCACUGGGCGUAAAGCGCGCGUAGGCGGACUUUUUAAGUCAGGGGGUGAAAAUCCCCGGGGGCUCAACCUCGGAACUGCCUUUGAUACUGGAAGUCUUGAGUUCGAGAGAGGUGAGUGGAAUACCGAGUGUAGAGGUGAAAAUUCGUAGAUAUUCGGUGGAACACCAGUGGCGAAGGCGGCUCACUGGCUCAUACUGACGCUGAGGUGCGAAAAGCGUGGGGGGAGCAAAACAGGAUUAGAUACCCGGUAGUCC